rnacentral:lncRNA from 1 species
CACCAAGGACGAUCGGUGAGGUGAGCAUUUAGGGGGUGAUGCAGAGGCUGGAUGGUGGACGGCUCUGCUAGCCAGUGCCACACCGCAUCUCUCUGCCCCCAUCUUUGCGAAUGGAAGGCCCUGACUCCCCUCUUUUACGAGGUCCUGCCGGUCAAGGAAUUCAUCUUCUAACUGAGCAGAGACGACUGGCCACCCUGAGCGCAAUUCAAUUCAACAGACAUUUACUGAGUGCCUACUAUGCGCCAGGCCUUAGGCUAGGCACUGGGGUGGGGGGUGCAGAGAGGAAAGUGGGGCCCGGUCCUCAGGUAGCUCUGGGUUUGGGGUUGGGGGGCAUGGAGAGACAGUCCAGGGCCCAACAGCUUGGCACUGGGGGAGGAGCGGUGUGGAAGGCUAGGGGCAGCAGAGACAAGGGUUUCAGUGCAUUACUGGAGAGCUGCUUUUCCUUGUCUGUGCCUCAGUUUCCCCACCUGUAAAAUGGGAGGAGGUGAGGUGGAGAGAUGAUUUCUAGGAGCCUUUCAGGCCGUGCAUGCAUCACAGGGGGUGGGAACAGAGCAGGGGAGGCCAUCACUCUGCAGAGGAGAUGUCUCUGGAGGCUUCUGAGAGGGCGAGGUAUAAGAUUGAGACCUCAGGGGGCCCUACAGGUGGCCUUGGCUCCCCAGGCUCAGGAACUGCAUAAGCAGAGGCCUGAAAGACAGGAAGAGGGCAUCCCGAAACCUCACAGGGUCAUGAAGGGAUAGGGUAAGGUAUGAGCUUAGAGAGGGGCUUGAGAGCCACAAGGUAGGGCAUGAGCGCUAUUCUGGGGCAGUGGGAGCCAUGGAAGGCUGUUGAGGGAGAGCCAGAAACAGUUGGUCCUGGGCAGCCCCUGCCUUCCCUGGGGUACAUUACCCUAGGGCCCUGCAGCCGUGUGGCCCUGGCAUUGUCAGCACUGAGCUGGCCACUUUCCACCUUAGUCCUCAUGCAGCCCCAUCAGCGACAUUACUGGACCCCAUUCACAGAAGGGGACACUGAGGCUCAGAGAGGGGAAGCUUCUUGCCUAAGGUCAUGAUGCAAGCCCCGACCCCCAUGCCAAAGAGGUCUCUGCUCUGUGUAAGCUCAUCCAUCCUGCCCACCCCAAAGGCCUGAGGUGCCUGCCAGAGUUGAGUUUGGGGUGAGGGGUAGGAAGCUCCCAAAUGUUGUUAGCAGGGCCGGCUUUCUCUAGGACCUGAGCUCCUUCCCACUUUACAGACGGACAGAUUGAGGGCCUGAGAGUCACAUUGCUGGGCCAGGGUUGAACUUGAGCAACCAACAGCAUAGGGUGGGAGCCUGUCUCCUCAUCAUCUAACUGAGGCUGGGGGCCUCAAGUCCUUGAGACCUGUGCAGAAGCCGGACACCCAAGGCCCUGCCCAGGAAGUGGGAAGAGCUGGUAUUGGCGUCACAGACCAUUGUUCAAAUCCUGACUUUGUCUUGGAUGAGCUGUGUGAUGGUGCGCAAGUCAUGAAGUACUCUGGGCCUCGGUUUCUUUAUCUGUACCAGGGAGGACGGGCCUCUCCAUUCCCUCAUUAACACACAUUUAUUGAGCACCUACUGGGGGCCUGGGUGCCAGGCCCUUCCCUGGGGGAAACUGUAGUUAUGGAUCCCCAGUGAGGAGGGAGACCAGGGGCUGUGGGAGCCCAGCCAGGUGAGGGCAGGACAGGAGGCAGGUGCCAGCUCCCGCAGGACCAUGUGGGUGGGCUCUGGAUGCGUUGGAAUUUUCCCGGAUCAGCCAGGGAGUGCCAUGCUCAGUCUCAGGGUGUAGAAAGCUUCUCCUUGCAGGGUGAGGGGCGGGUGCAGUUGGGCCAUAGGAUCAGAAGCAGAGAGCCUGGUGAGGUGCUGGAAAGGGGGCAGAACCAGAGCAGGCACAGUGGCCCGGUGGGUACAGAGCCCUCCCAGGUGUGGGCACUGGGUGGAUGAUGGGUCUGGGGCUGGAGAGAAGCCUGUUAGGGGCAGAUGGGCAGUGUGGGCUGGGUGUCCAGGCCUAGCUGUGGUGGGGGUGAUGGGUGGAGUUCUAGGUGCCCGGAGGAGCCAGGGGACAGUAGGGACAUGGUUGUUUGGUUGUGGUCAGCUUGAGGCUGAUAGAGGAGCCCCCCUGGGGGUCUGAGAUGGUCAUAGGGGAGGCAGGUAUGAGCAGAGCUGGGAGCUGGGCCCAGGACCUCCAGGGAGGGCCAUGCUUAGAGACAGGGAACAGGGGAAAGACGGGUUCAGGUCCUCGACCCAGGGUGAUAGCACUUCUAGGAGGGAAGGUGGUGGGCUUAGGUCUUCCAGAGAUCCUGAAUUCCAGGAGUUGUGGGAGGUGGCGGGAGGGUCCAGCCCCUGGCUUUUCCCGGAAGUCAGGACCUAAGUCAUCCCAAGAAAGAGGAGGCCCCAGAGGGGGGAAGGUGUUUGUGAAGGAGGGAAAAAUAUUUGCAUGCAUAACAAGGCUGAAGGGAGGGAGAGAAAAAGGGGAGAGAGAGAGAGAGAGAGAGAGAGAUGAAAAGAAAUUACCAUACAUCAGGAUCUUGUUAUUCAACCUAAUUUUCAAAGGACCACAGCUGUCGCACUGAGAUAAUCCGUUAAUUAUAACAGCCAUUGUGCUUUGGCAAUGGGAGAGAAACCGAGGCCGGGAACAGGCUGAAGGCGGGGGGAGGGAGCAGGCUUUUGAGGGGGCCUGGACCUCAGAGAGGGGGUAGGGACAGAGGCAAAAGGGUGUGCUGCUCGGAGCCAGGCCUCAGCCUUGCUCACUGUUAUGUGAAAGCUGUGCAUCGAGGCCCUGCACGUGCCAGGCAUGUCCCACACUCCUGGAAGGGGCCCUUGAGGAUAUCUGCAGCAGCUGACUUUACUGAGCAGUUAUUGUGGUGCCAGACCCUGCUCUGUGGCUGUUCCCUCUAGCUAGUGCCCUUCUUGCCCAUUUUACAGGAGAGGACACUGAGAUUCAGGGGAAGGAAGCAGCUUGCCAGAGCCAUGGCUAAAUGGGGAGCCUGGAUUGGAGGGGAUGUGGCCCCUCCCCUUCCAGGAGCUCCUAAGUUGGAUUGGCCACCAGGAGUUGGUGGACACGGAAGCUGCCAUCGUUCAGGGCCCUCUGUUCUGCCCAGCCAGCCAUCGCCAGUCACUGGUGGCCCUCCCCCAGCAUUUCCAAAGCUUGAGGGAGCCCCUGGCCCUGACAGAGCCUCCUUGUUCUCAGAGCAGCAGCUGCAGCCUCCAUUUGGGGUGGCUCCCGCCCUCCAGGGCAUCAGUCUCAGGGCCUAGGGAGAGAAUUUCCCACUGGCCAGCGGCCUCCGUGCUGACCCCUUGUGACUGACCCUAAUUGGAGGUGGUGAGGAGACAGAAAGUUAUGGGGCUGCAGCCCUGUGAGGGGGUUUCUCAGCCUGGCCCACAGGGCUCCAGGGCGUAGGGUGCUGAGGCCUGGUGGAAGAAUAAGGGCACAGGCAGCUUGAGGGAUGGUGAAGCACAGGGCCAUCCCAGAACCCCCAGAGCGCUUCCGUGUGGGCUGUGCUCAGCAGCCAGGCCUCAGGCCUUCGGGGGCCUGGAGUGCAGCAAAAACCACAGGCAGGUCUUCCUGUUUCUGUUCAGACCCAGCAGGGGCCCCAGAUUUGACCCAGGCAGUGUUGUUGGGGUUUAGGGGAGCAGUGGGCCCUGCACAGUGCCAGACAAGUCUGGAGGCCCUGGGGGUGUUCUCCUGACUGACUUGGGGUCCUCACCCCCCGUAGGCCUGCUCAGAGCCUGGGGGAGCUUAAGACCAUGGAGAAUUGUGACCUCUCCCAGAGGCCUGGACUCAGCAGCAUUCAUAGAUACAUGAUACAUCCUACCCUCCUCUCAAGAACCAGACCUCUAAAAAGAAUCAGGGACCCCUAAAAACAAAAGACCCAUGCUGUCAGUGUCCCAGAGUUCGAAAGUCAGAGCCGUCAACCAGGCAGGAUGGAAGUGGGCUGGGGAGAUUGUGGCCCCUUGGGUCCCAGAACAGGAGGCUCAUGGAAUCCCCCAUGCAGGUGGGGAUUUAGUUGUCCACACUCUGCAGGUCCCCAGGAGCCAGGACACCCCCACUCCAGGGAGCGGGGGUGAAGGACGGGGCCCCUGCUCUGCCCUGCACAGUGCAGACCCAGGGCAGCCACAGCUUAUUCCGGAAAGGGGGAUUUAAAAAAUAACACUUCCCAAGUUUCCAAUAUUGGCACUAACAAAAAAUGAAAAAUGUAAUCCUUGUCCCAAUCUGACAGGGUGCCCCAGCAUCUUGUGAGCCAGAGCCUGAUGCUUCCUGUCUGUGGAGGGGAAGCCACCACGUAGCAGUUGGAAGACCUCAGUUUCUUCAUCUGUAAAGUGGGGAUAGUGAUAGCUCUGACUCCAGGGCUGUGCUGAGGACUGAGUGGACACAGGAACUGGGAAGUGCCUAGGCCCCUUGGAGAGCUGUCUUGCUCUCCCGCUGCUCCCUGGAGCCUUUGAGGUCAGCGAGCUCCCUGCCCAGAGCCCCCUUCUCCGGUGGGCCCUGACUUGCUUCUCUGCCUGGGGACGGCCCAGAGGGUGUGGGAAGGCAGGGAACUGCCACGAAGGACGCUGGAGGAGGAGCAGCUGGCGGAGGCAGGGCUGGGGGGUGGGCCUAGCCGGUGCCUGGUACAUAGUAGGUGCUCCAUAAAUGUUUAUUGAAUGAAUGAAUGGAGGCCAUGCAGGCAGAGGCAGCCGUGCGUGCACAGGCACUGGUGAAAGCGGGUCCAGUGGAGACUG